GUUAUAUGGUCAAGUGAAGAAGCGCAUACGGUGGAUGCCUUGGCAGUCAGAGGCGAUGAAAGACGUGGUAGCCUGCGAAAAGCUUCGGGGAGUCGGCAAACAGACUGUGAUCCGGAGAUGUCUGAAUGGGGGAACCCAGCCAUCAUAAGAUGGUUAUCUUGUACUGAAUACAUAGGUGCAAGAGGCGAACCAGGGGAACUGAAACAUCUAAGUACCCUGAGGAAAAGAAAUCAACCGAGAUUCCCUUAGUAGUGGCGAGCGAACGGGGACCAGCCCUUAAGUUGUAUUGAGAUUAGCGGAACGUUCUGGAAAGGACGGCCAUAGUGGGUGAUAGCCCUGUACGCGAAAAUCCCUUUGCAAUGAAAUCGAGUAGGACGGGGCACGAGAAACCUUGUCUGAAUAUGGGGGGACCAUCCUCCAAGGCUAAAUACUACUGACUGACCGAUAGUGAACCAGUACCGUGAGGGAAAGGCGAAAAGAACCGCGGAGAGCGGAGUGAAAUAGAUCCUGAAACCGUAUGCGUACAAGCAGUGGGAGCCCACUUUGUUGGGUGACUGCGUACCUUUUGUAUAAUGGGUCAGCGACUUAUUUUCAGUGGCGAGCUUAACCGAAUAGGGGAGGCGUAGCGAAAGCGAGUCUUAAUAGGGCGUCUAGUCGCUGGGAAUAGACCCGAAACCGGGCGAUCUAUCCAUGGGCAGGUUGAAGGUUGGGUAACACUAACUGGAGGACCGAACCGACUACCGUUGAAAAGUUAGCGGAUGACCUGUGGAUCGGAGUGAAAGGCUAAUCAAGCUCGGAGAUAGCUGGUUCUCCUCGAAAGCUAUUUAGGUAGCGCCUCAUGUAUCACUGUAGGGGGUAGAGCACUGUUUCGGCUAGGGGGUCAUCCCGACUUACCAAACCGAUGCAAACUCCGAAUACCUACAAGUGCCGAGCAUGGGAGACACACGGCGGGUGCUAACGUCCGUCGUGAAAAGGGAAACAACCCAGACCGUCAGCUAAGGUCCCAAAGUCAUGGUUAAGUGGGAAACGAUGUGGGAAGGCUUAGACAGCUAGGAGGUUGGCUUAGAAGCAGCCACCCUUUAAAGAAAGCGUAAUAGCUCACUAGUCGAGUCGGCCUGCGCGGAAGAUGUAACGGGGCUCAAACCAUGCACCGAAGCUACGGGUAUCAUCUUAUGAUGAUGCGGUAGAGGAGCGUUCUGUAAGCCUGUGAAGGUGAGUUGAGAAGCUUGCUGGAGGUAUCAGAAGUGCGAAUGCUGACAUGAGUAACGACAAUGGGUGUGAAAAACACCCACGCCGAAAGACCAAGGUUUCCUGCGCAACGUUAAUCGACGCAGGGUUAGUCGGUCCCUAAGGCGAGGCUGAAAAGCGUAGUCGAUGGAAAACAGGUUAAUAUUCCUGUACUUCUGGUUAUUGCGAUGGAGGGACGGAGAAGGCUAGGCCAGCCUGGCGUUGGUUGUCCAGGUUUAAGGUGGUAGGCUGAGAUCUUAGGUAAAUCCGGGAUCUUAAGGCCGAGAGCUGAUGACGAGUGUUCUUUUAGAACACGAAGUGGUUGAUGCCAUGCUUCCAAGAAAAGCUUCUAAGCUUCAGGUAACCAGGAACCGUACCCCAAACCGACACAGGUGGUUGGGUAGAGAAUACCAAGGCGCUUGAGAGAACUCGGGUGAAGGAACUAGGCAAAAUGGCACCGUAACUUCGGGAGAAGGUGCGCCGGUGGAGGUGAAGCAUUUACUGCGUAAGCCCCUGCCGGUCGAAGAUACCAGGCCGCUGCGACUGUUUAUUAAAAACACAGCACUCUGCAAACACGAAAGUGGACGUAUAGGGUGUGACGCCUGCCCGGUGCCGGAAGGUUAAUUGAUGGGGUUAGCGCAAGCGAAGCUCUUGAUCGAAGCCCCGGUAAACGGCGGCCGUAACUAUAACGGUCCUAAGGUAGCGAAAUUCCUUGUCGGGUAAGUUCCGACCUGCACGAAUGGCGUAACGAUGGCGGCGCUGUCUCCACCCGAGACUCAGUGAAAUUGAAAUCGCUGUGAAGAUGCAGUGUAUCCGCGGCUAGACGGAAAGACCCCGUGAACCUUUACUAUAGCUUUGCACUGGACUUUGAAUUUGCUUGUGUAGGAUAGGUGGGAGGCUUUGAAGCGUGGACGCCAGUCUGCGUGGAGCCAACCUUGAAAUACCACCCUGGCAACUUUGAGGUUCUAACUCAGGUCCGUUAUCCGGAUCGAGGACAGUGUAUGGUGGGUAGUUUGACUGGGGCGGUCUCCUCCUAAAGAGUAACGGAGGAGUACGAAGGUGCGCUCAGACCGGUCGGAAAUCGGUCGUAGAGUAUAAAGGCAAAAGCGCGCUUGACUGCGAGACAGACACGUCGAGCAGGUACGAAAGUAGGUCUUAGUGAUCCGGUGGUUCUGUAUGGAAGGGCCAUCGCUCAACGGAUAAAAGGUACUCCGGGGAUAACAGGCUGAUACCGCCCAAGAGUUCAUAUCGACGGCGGUGUUUGGCACCUCGAUGUCGGCUCAUCACAUCCUGGGGCUGAAGCCGGUCCCAAGGGUAUGGCUGUUCGCCAUUUAAAGUGGUACGCGAGCUGGGUUUAGAACGUCGUGAGACAGUUCGGUCCCUAUCUGCCGUGGACGUUUGAGAUUUGAGAGGGGCUGCUCCUAGUACGAGAGGACCGGAGUGGACGAACCUCUGGUGUUCCGGUUGUCACGCCAGUGGCAUUGCCGGGUAGCUAUGUUCGGAAAAGAUAACCGCUGAAAGCAUCUAAGCGGGAAACUUGCCUCAAGAUGAGAUCUCACUGGAACCUUGAGUUCCCUGAAGGGCCGUCGAAGACUACGACGUUGAUAGGUUGGGUGUGUAAGCGCUGUGAGGCGUUGAGCUAACCAAUACUAAUUGCCCGUGAGGCUUGACCAUAUAACACCCAAGCAAUU
rnacentral:rRNA from 2 species